GCGCCAAUAGCUCAGCUAGGUAGAGCAGCGGACUCUUAAUCCGUAGGUCGAAGGCUCGAUCCCUUCUUGGCGUA
rnacentral:tRNA from 1 species